CUUUGAACUGUUAUCGUUUGCUUCAUUUUGCUCCUUUUCGAAUCAACCAAGCUUUGAGUUACACUGCUGGGAAGGAGAUGAAACUUUUUUCAAGCAACGCGGGAGCAGGAGCAGUGUUCCUUUGGCUUAGUUUCACCGUGCUUGGAAUAUUUUUUGCUCGGUCAUAAAUUUUUGCACGCAUUAGAACUUUGUGCCUACCUCACAAAAGGGCUGAGAUGCCUCUCCUCGUCUUUGCCGGAAGGAGCGGACUUUAAGAAGAAGACUAAGUUAAGAAGGAGACUGGAAUUAGACAGACAGAACAUGGAGGCGGAGCUUCUCUCGCUCAGUUCUAUAAAAGAUGUACUUUAAAAAAUGUUUAAAUGUAACUAUCGUACAUAGCUUUAUAUAAUUAAAUUUAUUUAACCUAGAAA